GACAGUAUACAUUGAACAGCCAACAUGAUUUAGCAGGAGGCCAGAUUGAGAAUGUGGUGAGCAAGCUUAGCGUCGUCUAAGAAGCCAAAAGCAUUCCGGAGGCAUCCACCUUGACAAGAAGGACUGCUUUCAAUUUACUGUCUAUC
rnacentral:other from 1 species